rnacentral:tRNA from 1 species
UAGGACUAUAGCUCAAUUGGUUAGAGCACCACGCUAACAUCGUGGCGGCAAGCGGUUCGAAUCCGCUUAGUCCUAU